UUUUUAUGUUUAUUUUAUUUUUUUUAAAUUUUAUUUAUUUAUUUAUUCAUUCAUGAUAGUCAUACAGAGAGAGAGAGAGAAAGAGAGAGAGAGAGAGGCAGAGACACAGGCAGGGGAGAAGCAGGCUCCAUGCACCGGGAGCCCGACGUGGGAUUCGAUCCCGGGUCUCCAGGAUCGCGCCCUGGGCCAAAGGCAGGCGCCAAACCGCUGCACCACCCAGGGAUCCCCAGUUUUUUAUGUUUAAAUUAGUAUAUGUUAUAAUAAAGUUGAUUUGAAUGAUCAUUUUGUUAUUUUUAAAAUUAUUCAUAGAAAUAUCUAAAAUAUUAAAAAAAUAAAAAUGCCUAUGACUAUCUUUCCUGGUUAUACUGAGAGUUAAAUAAGCUCUAAAAUAUUUCCAUCAUUUGCCAUUUAAACUGAGUUAUGGGGAAGGUGGGAGAAAAUGGGGGCAAAAAUAUUCAAUGAUACCAUUCUUAUGAUGCUUUACUCCAAGGUGUAAUCACUUCUUAACAAAAUGUGUGGUACGGCUAUAGCAACAAUUCCAUUGCUCAUGGCAGGAACUCUGAAGAUUUGAUAAGAACAGUCAAGGAAAUGUGAACAAUGAUUCUACUCUUCCAGUUACUUUCAGCAAACUGGAUUAAAUUAAGCACAAUAAAUACCGCUUCAACUGGUCUUACAAAACCUUCAGAGGAUGCGGACAUGCCUGAAAAGAACUGUAUUUGAUGAAAUCGCUGAUUGUUCCCUUUGGCUGAGGAUCUUAGCCAGCAGUCGGUAUUUGACUACUCUGUAUGAAAUGUUACCUGCUUUCAGUUAAAGAUAACAUGAAUUAUCAUGGAACUUCAGGAAACAAGCUAUAUACAGGUGGUGCAGGAGGAGACUCUAACCCCCAUGGCUUUGCUCUUUGGGGAAGUAGCCUAUUUGGAGAACACCACACAUCAUUUGCCUGGAGUGGAGUUUAUUUUUCUAGAUCUGCUGGAAAGGCUACAGGAGAAUUUGGCUCUCAGUGAGAGUCCACUUCUCUGCACCUGCCUGAGAAUGUGAAUCUGCUCUCCACAGCAAAGCAGGUUUCAGUUCCUCACCGUUUGGGAGCAAAUGUGUGUUGAAUGCUUACAGUAUGCUUUAUAUUUAUAUAUUGUAAUCCUUAUAAGAGCCCCAGGACAGGGAUCCCAUUUUUAUAUAUGGGAAAAACUGAGAUAUAGAUUAAUUGAAUAAAGUGUAGCUAUGGAGUCUUCUAGUUAGGAUG
rnacentral:lncRNA from 1 species